GACGAACGCUGGCGGCGUGCUUAACACAUGCAAGUCGAACGGAAAGGCCCUGCUUUUGUGGGGUGCUCGAGUGGCGAACGGGUGAGUAACACGUGAGUAACCUGCCCUUGACUUUGGGAUAACUUCAGGAAACUGGGGCUAAUACCGGAUAGGAGCUCCUGCUGCAUGGUGGGGGUUGGAAAGUUUCGGCGGUUGGGGAUGGACUCGCGGCUUAUCAGCUUGUUGGUGGGGUAGUGGCUUACCAAGGCUUUGACGGGUAGCCGGCCUGAGAGGGUGACCGGCCACAUUGGGACUGAGAUACGGCCCAGACUCCUACGGGAGGCAGCGGUGGGAAAUAUUGCACAAUGGGCGGAAGCCUGAUGCAGCAACGCCGCGUGCGGGAUGACGGCCUUCGGGUUGUAAACCGCUUUCGCCUGUGACGAAGCGUGAGUGACGGUAAUGGGUAAAGAAGCACCGGCUAACUACGUG
rnacentral:rRNA from 1 species